rfam:Nomascus leucogenys chromosome 13, whole genome shotgun sequence.
CUUGAGUAUCACUUGAGCCCAGGAGUUUGAGACUAGCCUGGGCAACAAAGUGAGACCCCUG